AUCCAUCUGACCAGUUUCAAUAAGACGAAACGCGCUUCCUGCAU
rnacentral:hammerhead_ribozyme from 1 species